CGCCGUUAGUCGGGGUGCUUAAAUUAGCUGAGAAAAUACCCGUGAACCUGAUACAGUUAACACUGGCGUAGGAAACUAAUCAAUCUAUUGA
rnacentral:ncRNA from 2 species